rnacentral:tRNA from 1 species
GUUCUCAUAGUUUAAUUAUCAAAACAUGGCCCUGAAGUUGCCACAAUGGAGAGACCACUCUCCCGAAAACA